AAUAAAAAAUCUUCAUCUUGUGUAACACGUGUCAUAUUGUGUUGGUCCGCUAUGGACCUGUUGUCAUCGUACUAAGUUCUAGUCAAUAGCCCAGACUGUGUAUUUGUGUAUCUUAUAUUAUCAUUUAGCUUGUUAGUAAAUACAUAAUCAACUCAAUUGUUGUGGUACGGACUUAUUUAGUGAGACUCGGGUUUGUGCAGAUUUACGAAUUGUGUGGCAUUCAGAAUGAGACUGUAGAGGAAAUGUAUUAAUUAGCGACUGCUGUACAAUCAAUAUUCUGAUAUUCUUUGAGUUUAUUUAAGAAACGGAAACUCAUUUAAAAAAAAAAACUUUUCCCAUGGUGCCCCAGGUUACUGAGUUCAUGAUUACCUGAUUAAUUGAUUCACGUAAUUAUAAACAUAGUUAAUUAUUCGAUAAAACAGCAGUCGUCACAUUUAUGAUACCAACGUCACGACCAUAGCCACCCUUACCCUUGAUGACAGCUUUGCACACUCUGAUUAUGCCACAUUAUUAUUCAACAUUAUAGUUAAGUAAAAAUAAACAAUAAUGACAAAUUCUAACAGAAAUAAUGUGGUUAUUAGUAUUUAUGUAAUAUGCAAUAUGGAGUAAACUGGAAAACAUGUCUUUGUGUUCUGUUAAGACAAUCGUGAAAACACCUGGAAAUUACACAAAUAAAUAAUAUGUACCCAUUAACUAUGUACACACAAACCCCAGAGGUGUCUUUGUCACAUCCUGACCUUAGUUCCUUUUUUAUGUCUCUAUUUUAGUUUGGUCAGGGCGUGAGUUGGGGUGGGCAUUCUGUGUUUUUUCAAGGUUUUCUAUUGCUAUGUGUUUGGCCUGGUAUGGUUCCCAAUCAGAGGCAGCUGUCAAUCGUUGUCUCUGAUUGAGAACAAUACUUAGGCAGCCUGUUCCCACCUGUGUUUUGUGGGUAAUUAUUUUUCCGUGUGUGCACCUCGGUUGUGUCACGUUCUUUGCUGUUCACCUGUUUGUUUUUUUGUUUAUUUUGGUUUCACUUUCAUUAAAAGAUGUGGAACUACAUGCAAGCUACACCUUGGUUGAUUUAUGACAGGGAGUUUGAGGAUAGCGAGCGUGACAGAAUUACCCACCACAAGAAGACCAAGCAGCGUGCGCCAACCUGGAGGAGGAGUUGGACCGGGGAGGAAGAGCUGUGUUGGACCAAUGCCAGAAGAGCUGAGACCAAUCCAAGAAGUCCAAACCAGGGAGUCCGAACCAAGGAGUUCAAACCAAGGAGUCCGAACCAAGGAGUCCGAACCAAGGAGACCGAACCAAGGAGUCCGAACCAAGGAGUCCGAACCAAGGAGUCCGAACCAAGGAAAGCCAAACCAAGGAGUCCGAACCAAGGAGACCGAACCAAGGAGUCCAAACCAAGGAGUCCAAACCAAGGAAAGCCAAACCAAGGAGUCCAAACCAAGGAGACCGAACCAAGGAGUCCAGACCAAGGAGUCCAAACCAAGGGAAUGUUUAUUUUUUCUGUUUUCUCAUUCUCACUUUUUCCUGCUUCCGCUUAUGAGUCUCCUGUUAUCCCCUUUUCAUUAGCCCUGUUAUCGCCUGUUCAUUAGCCCUGUUCUCGCCUGUUCAUUAGCCCUGUUCUCGCCUGUUCAUUAGUCCUGUUAUCCCCUGUUUAUUAGUCCUGUUAUCCCUGUUUAUUAGUCCUGUUAUCCCCUUUUCAUUAGCCCUGUUAUCCCCUUUUCAUUAGCCCUGUUAUCGCCUGUUCAUUAGCCCUGUUAUCGCCUGUUCUUUAGCCCUGUUAUCGCCUGUUAAUUAGCCCUGUUAUCGCCUGUUCAUUAGCCCUGUUCUCGCCUGUUCAUUAGUCCUGUUAUCCCCUGUUUAUUAGUCCUGUUAUCCCCUUUUCAUUAUCCCCUUUUCAUUAGCCCUGUUAUCGCCUGUUCAUUAGCCCUGUUAUCCCCUUUUCAUUAGCCCUGUUAUCCCCUGUUCAUUAGCCCUGGUGUCCCCUUUUCAUUAGCCCUGUUAUCCCCUUUUCAUUAGCCCUGUUAUCCCCUUUUCAUUAGCCCUGUUAUCGCCUGUUCAUUAGCCCUGUUAUCCCCUUUUCAUUAGCCCUGUUGUCCCCUUUUCAUUGGCCCUGUUAUCCCCUGUUUAUUAGUCCUGUUAUCCCCUGUUUAUUAGUCCUGUUAUCACCUUUUCAUUAGCCCUGUUAUCGCCUGUUCUUUAGCCCUGUUAUCGCCUGUUCAUUAGCCCUGUUAUCGCCUGUUCAUUAACAUUGGUAUUAAAGGAUUAAAAGUAAAA